CGAACGGGUGAGUAACGCGUGAGGAACCUGCCUCAAAGAGGGGGACAACAGUUGGAAACGACUGCUAAUACCGCAUAAGCCCACGGCUCGGCAUCGAGCAGAGGGAAAAGGAGCAAUCCGCUUUGAGAUGGCCUCGCGUCCGAUUAGCUAGUUGGUGAGGUAACGGCCCACCAAGACGAUGAUAGGUAGGGGUUCUGAGAGGAAGGUCCCCCACAUUGGAACUGAGACACGGUCCAA
rnacentral:rRNA from 1 species